CUGGCGGCAUGCCUAAGACAUGCAAGUCGAACGAAGCGGCCCGUUGAAACAGGGUGCUUGCACAAAGUAGAGUUCGGAUUUCCGCUUAGUGGCGCAAGGGUGAGUAACACGUGGGUUAUCUACCCCAGAGACUGGGAUAACGGUUGGAAACGAUCGCUAAUACCGGAUUACUAUUUAAGAUGAUACGUUAUCUUAAAUUAAAAGGGAGCCUUUAAAGCUUCGCUUUGGGAUGGUCUCGCGUCUGAUUAGCUAGUUGGUGAGGUAACGGCUCACCAAGGCGACGAUCAGUAGCCGGUCUGAGAGGAUGAACGGCCACAUUGGGACUGAGAUACGGCCCAGACUCCUACGGGAGGCAGCAGGUGGGGAAUAUUGGGCAAUGGGGGAAACCCUGACCCAGCAACGCCGCGUGAAGGAAGAAGGCCUUCGGGUUGUAAACUUCUUUUACCAGGGACGAAUAAAUGACGGUACCUGGAGAAAAAGCAACGGCUAACUACGUG
rnacentral:rRNA from 1 species